AUUGAACGCUGGCGGCAGGCCUAACACAUGCAAGUCGAACGCGUGGCGGACGGGUGAGCAAUGUCUGGGAAACUGCCUGAUGGAGGGGGAUAACUACUGGAAACGGUAGCUAAUACCGCAUACCAUCGGAUGUGCCCAGAUGGGAUUAGCUAGUAGGUGGGGUAACGUCUCACCUAGGCGACGAUCCCUAGCUGGUCUGAGAGGAUGACCAGCAACACUGGAACUGAAACACGGUCCAGACUCCUACGGGAGGCAGCAGUGGGGAAUAUUGCACAAUGGGCGCAAGCCUGAUGCAGCCAGGCCGCGGGUAUGAAGAAGGCCUUCGGGUUGUAAAGUACUUUCAGCGGGGAGGCGUUACCCGCAGAAGAAGCACCGGCUGACUCCGUGUCAGCAGCCGCGGUAAUAC
rnacentral:rRNA from 1 species